rnacentral:rRNA from 1 species
AUUGAACGCUGGCGGCAGGCCUAACACAUGCAAGUCGAGCGGAGCGGCGGACGGGUGAGUAAUGCCUGGGAAUCUGCCUGGUAGUGGGGGAUAACGUCCGGAAACGGGCGCUAAUACCGCAUACUAUCAGAUGAGCCUAGGUCGGAUUAGCUAGUGGGGGGGGUAAAGGCCUACCAAGGCGACGAGCCGUACCUGGUCUGAGAGGAUGAUCAGUCACACUGGAAUGGAGACCGGGCCCAUACUCCGACGGGAGGCAGCAGUGGGGAAUAUUGGAAAAUGGGCGAAAGCCUGCUCCAGCAAGGCCGCGUGUGUGAAGAAGGUCUUCGGAUUGUAAAGUACUUUAAGUUGGGAGGCGUUACCAACAGAAUAAGCACCGGCUAACUUCGUGCCAGCCGCCGCGGUAAUUC